rnacentral:sRNA from 1 species
AUAAACGACUAUAUAUAUUAGUACAGAAAUUCAAAUUAUUGAUAUCAUUCUAUAUAAAAGAAAAUGUCAGCUCGACGUCUUUGUGGCUGUUCUGGCCUUUGAUUUUAAAAUAGGGCAUAUAUCAUAUUAAAUUCAAGUGUACAUGGCGUUAAUGGUAAGCUGGCAAGCUGAAUUCAACUUUUAAGUUAGAAGAAAUUAAUUUACCAUAUCUAUAAUAAAUAAGUUUAUCGGAUCUUAGAUUUGCAGCCAUUUGAAGUUUCAUACGAUUAUCAUAAUGAAAGAUUUAGAGCAUACUGGAUGGUGACCAGUUGCAAAGAUACAAUAAGAACUGUUUCAAGAUAUGUAGCAUGAAUAUGGACGUUGUGUUGAUGCUUAUACACUGAUUAGAAAAACUUUUCAGGUAGACUUAAUUUAAAUAUUUGAAUAUUUGUUAUAGAAUGUUUGUAGAUAAUUAAAUAUAUGAUACUGAAAUUGAUUAUUAUUUGUAUUCAAUAUAUUAUACAAGGAAAUAUAGCUUAUACUGUGUCCAAAGUUUUUGCUUCCAUCACUUUUUGUUAAUGAUAUUUCGAUAACCAUAAAUAUCUUUCGCUUAAUAUGAAAAAUGUCCAGAUUAUCUAUUUUGAAAUGCCCCCUCUACCACAUCAGGUUUCAAUACACAUCCAAAAAUAGAAAGUCUAUGGGAAUUUGCAUUGCAUCAGCCAUUGAUAAGACCGGAUGAUAAUGUUGAAAAAUUGCGCAAAGUAUCCCGGGUACUUCAGAAUGGAGAAAAAGAUGUAAACAUUUCCCGUUAUAAAUCUCCGUAAGAAAUUUGUUUUUGUUCCUGUGCACGUUUAUGAGUGAAAACUGAUAAUUGAUCAAUGAAGAUAUCUUGGAUAUAUUCCCUUUUAUCGCUUUCAACUGUAUUUCUUUCACAGGUAUGUGUAUUUUUAUUGAAAAUCAUCAAAAAGUGAUGGAAACAAUAACUUGGUACAGAUUAUAGAAAGGAAUACAACAUACAUGCACAUGAUACCAUUUAAUGCAUAAUGUACAAAAUAAUUAUAAUACUUAGUGAUGGAGAAAUUUAAUACUUGUGUUUUAGCACCUUUUCACAUAAUUUGCCUACAAUAUAGUGCUUUUGCAAACAUCAAACAUUUUCAAUAUUAUACAAUAAUUAUUUUAUUGAAAAGAAAUGUAAAUCACAAAAUUACCAUAUUGAAAGAGUCAUAACCAUUUUACAUGACAUCAUUAACAUCUUCAGGUUUUGUUAAAGAUACAUAGCAAUAUAUAGUUGGUAUGCAAUAAAAAAUUGGAUAUUUGAUUAUGUGAACCACUUUAAACCAAAGAAAUCCUAAUAAAUCAUGUUCUACAGGUAUUGUAGUACACGUUUACAUCGAAAUAAUUUUGGUUUAUUGUGGUCUUCACACUGAAACUCAACAAUUAUUUCAGUGACUUUUCUAAUACAACUGUAUAUGUACAUAUACAGUUGUAUUAGAAAAGCCACAUUUAUUGAAAACGCAUCCCACUUAAAAUUUAACAGCAUGGUCUAGUGGUAGGGUGACUUCAUUUUGAUUGUGCAGUCUCUGGAUCGAUUGUAUGAAGUAUUUACCGGUAAUAUCUUUAAGGCGUCAAGCUAAUUUACUAAUGAACCUAGACUAUCAAUUUUAACACCCCCCCCCCCCCCC